UACGUAGGGUCCGAGCGUUGUCCGGAAUUACUGGGCGUAAAGAGCUCGUAGGUGGUUUGUCGCGUUGUUCGUGAAAACUCACAGCUUAACUGUGGGCGUGCGGGCGAUACGGGCAGACUAGAGUACUGCAGGGGAGACUGGAAUUCCUGGUGUAGCGGUGGAAUGCGCAGAUAUCAGGAGGAACACCGAUGGCGAAGGCAGUUCUCUGGGCCGUAACUGACGCUGAGGAGCGAAAGCGUGGGGAGCGAACAGG
rnacentral:rRNA from 1 species